AGAGUUUGAUCCUGGCUCAGGAUGAACGCUUGGCGGCGUGCCUAAUACAUUGCAAGUCGAACGAGGUCUUCGGACCUAGUGGCGAACGGGUGAGUAACACGUUGGUACCUACCCCGAAGUGGGGAAUAACUGGCCGAAAGGUCGGCUAAUACCGCAUAAUCCCGCAAGGGUAAAGCAGUAAUGUGCUUCGGGAGGGGCCUGCGUCUGAUUAGCUAGUUGGUAGGGUAAUGGCCUACCAAGGCGACGAUCAGUAGCUGGAUCGAGAGGUUGACCAGCCACACUGGGACUGAGAUACGGCCCAGAACUCCUACGGGAGGCAGCAGUAAGGAAUCUUCCACAAUGGACGAAAGUCUGAUGGAGCAACGCCGCGUGCAGGAUGACGGUCUUCGGAUUGUAAACUGCUUUUAUAUGGGAAGAUUAUGACGGUACCAUAUGAAUAAGGACCGGCUAACUACGUGCCAGCAGCCGCGGUAAUACGUAGGGUCCAAGCGUUAUCCGGAAUCACUGGGCGUAAAGCGUGCGUAGGUGGAUGUUUAAGUGAGUUGUUAAAUCGUGGGGCUCAACCCUGUCGAUGCAAUUCAUACUGGACGUCUAGAGGACGGCAGAAGCAAGUGGAAUUGGUAGUGUAGCAGUGAAAUGCGUAGAUAUUACCAGGAACACCAAUGGCGAAGGCAGCUUGCUGGGCCACUCCUGACACUGAGGUACGAAAGCGUGGGGAGCGAACAGGAUUAGAUACCCCGGUAGUCC
rnacentral:rRNA from 1 species